GACGAACGCUGGCGGCGUGCCUAACACAUGCAAGUCGAGCGAGUGAAUCUCCUUCGGGAGUGAAGCUAGCGGCGGACGGGUGAGUAACACGUGGGCAACCUGCCUCAUAGAGGGGAAUAGCCUUCCGAAAGGGAGAUUAAUACCGCAUAAGAUUGUAGCUUCGCAUGAAGUAGCAAUUAAAGGAGCAAUCCGCUAUGAGAUGGGCCCGCGGCGCAUUAGCUAGUUGGUGAGGUAAUGGCUCACCAAGGCGACGAUGCGUAGCCGACCUGAGAGGGUGAUCGGCCACAUUGGGACUGAGACACGGCCCAGACUCCUACGGGAGGCAGCAGUGGGGAAUAUUGCACAAUGGGGGAAACCCUGAUGCAGCAACGCCGCGUGAGUGAUGACGGCCUUCGGGUUGUAAAGCUCUGUCUUCAGGGACGAUAAUGACGGUACCUGAGGAGGAAGCCACGGCUAACUACGUGCCAGCAGCCGCGGUAAAAC
rnacentral:rRNA from 1 species